CUUGGAGCCAGCCAACUAUGAACUGAAUCCUCUACAAACUGAGGACCUGGGAUCCCCGAUGAAGUCAGAACCCCCUUCCUCCCUGGGCAUCUGGUUCACCCACAGAAGAGAGGCACAGGAGGCGUGUACAGGUGCCAGUGCAGAGCACCUGUAACUUCUCAGGCAGGUGAUAACACCAGAUCUCCUGGAACUGGGUCAGCUGGAGUUCUCCUGACCUGGAGCAGGCUCAACUGAUUUUUCUUGGCUCAGUCAUGCAUCUGGUAUCAGCUAUUGGGACCCAUCUGGGGCUGAUGAGUCUAACAUGGCAUCUCUCCUGUGUCUGGCAGGUUGCAGACCACUGGCUAUCACAAUGGAAAUAAAAGGGCCAUGUGUCUGUCUGCAUCAGCCAACUAGUCUGGGCAUGUUCACAUGCAGCUACUGAGCUUCAAGAGUGAGAAUGGAAUGGUACAAGGGUGCUUGAGGCCAAGAUUUGGGAGAAAUAUAAUGUUGCUUCCAUCACAUUCUGUUGGCCUGGACAAGUCACAAGGCCAGCCCAGAGUCAAAAAGUGGAGAAAUAAACUCGACCUGAUGAUGACAGGAGUUGCAAGUCACACUGCAAAGAAGGCAAUGCAGUCACUUUUGUAAACAGCACAUCAUAGUAUCCUCAGAGCCUCAAUAAAUGGAGAACUCAAUAAACAGUGGACUCGAUAAAUAGAGAAUUUCUCAAAUGGAUGAAUUUGAACAUUUCAAUUUUAGUUGUUCUCAUUUUGUACUUAGUUUGUCUCUGUUACUGCUAAGCAAGCAUCUGAAGACAGAAAUCCUGUGUUCUUUAUGACCCCACAACACUGACACUACUUUGGACUCCACAAUGAUGAGUGGAGAUGGUGAAUAAAUGUAAUGUUGAGUCUUUCAAACCCUCUUUGCACAUCUCCACUUCUAGGCCUUCCUCAGUGUUUAAAGGCUCCUAUUGCAGAUUUGGAUAGGUUUUGUAACCUAGUGGACCAGGGCUUCGAUUCUGAACCUGCCAUUAACUAACUAUGGGACCUUUGACAAGUUUCUUCAUCUGCUGAGCCUCAAUUUCUUCUCCCACAAAUUUUGAGUGGCUACUCAGAACCGUUGCAGGGCUGAAGUGCAGUUGCAUGUGUGAAGUGCUGAACAUAGUGACAGGCACUAAAUGCAUGCCAUCCCUUUCCCUUUACCCUCAUCCCCUGAAUCAUCUUGACCUUGAUCUAGCCCCAUCCCUGGCUCAGUCAGCCUGCCCCAGGAAAGCCACAUCUAUUCCACACCUCUCUUGGUCCUUUGAAUGCAAUUGUUGGCAUACACAUAGGACACCUGAACUCCAACUAGUAUACAACUCCUGUGGCCACAGAUGGGCAGGAAAACUGUGGAACACAGUGAUUUCUGCCCUGCCUGGCACUGCUUCUCUAAUUCUAAGGCCAGAGGAGCUCCUUGUACACCUCAGGUGUUUGGAGAUCUGGCUGCCUUCCAGCACUCUGUCCUGACUUCUUGGCCUCCAGCCAUUAUCAAGGUAGUCACUGCUCAGGUCCAUUUUUAAACCCUGUGCACAUUUCCCUUUUUUCAGAUCAGCUGUCUUAUAUCUAGGUUCUCCCUUUUCCUUUUUUUCACAUCUCCUCCUUCUCUUCCCCACCUUACUACUUUUGGCUUUUCUCCAUAUGCCAGGCAGCCUGCUAAGCACUUUAUUCUAAUUGUCUGAUUAAUUCUUACAUCAACCCUAUGGCACAGGCACUGUUAUUACCAACACUUCCCUGAUAAAAAGAUCGAGGCUCAGAGUUCACACAACCCACUCAAGUCUGUACCCUCAAUGGGUGGUAGAAUCAGAAUUAAACUCUGAUUUGUCCCUUUCCCCCUAUUUCCUCCUGUUGUCCACUUGGGCAUCAUCCUGUGGCAAUUUUCUGAUAGAACAAUCCUUCUCGUCAUAUGGUUGGUCUAGAUGUUAUCAGCAUUUUUUUUCAAAAACUGCCAUAUUCCUCCUCAACUCUUGCUUUCCUUUUUCUCUGGGGCAGUGGAGUUCAGUAGAACUUUCUGGAAAGAUAGAAAUGUUCUCUGUGAUCUCCUCAUGGUUGCCACUAGACACAUGUGGCUUUUGAGUAUUUGAUAGGUGACUAGAAUGGCUGAGCAACUGCAUAUUAAUUUUAUUGAAAAGAUUUAAGAUGUGUCACAUACAUGCAUCAAAUAACCACAAUGAAUGUGAACAUUAUAUGUUGUGAACAUUAACUAUAAAUCAUAACAUUAACAGUAAUAAUGAAAAUGGGAAAAGGGGAUCUAG